GCCUUCGUAGUGUAGUGGUCAGCAUGCUCGACGUGUAUUCAAGUGUCCGUAGUUCGAGUCCCGGCGAGGGCA
rnacentral:tRNA from 1 species